AGUUAUAUAGUUUAUUUAAAAUAUUAAUUUUGUAAAUUAAUGAAAAAUUAUUUUUUAUAACUU
rnacentral:tRNA from 2 species